GACGAACGCUGGCGGCGUGCUUAACACAUGCAAGUCGAACGAUUAAAGAGGAGCUUUCUCCUCUGGAUUAGUGGCGAACGGGUGAGUAACACGUGAGCAUUCUGCCCCUGACUCCGUAAUAACUACGGGAAACUGUAGCUAAUACCGGAUAUGCGCCUAACAGGCAUCUGGAUCGGUGGGAAAAGAUUUCGGUCAGGGAUGAGCUCGCGGCCUAUCAGCUGGUUGGUGAGGUAACGGCUCACCAAGGCGACGACGGGUAGCCGGCCUGAGAGGGUGACCGGCCACAUUGGGACUGAGACACGGACCAGACUCCUACGGGAGGCAGAAGUGGGGAAUAUUGCACAAUGGGCGCAAGCCUGAUGCAGCAACCCCGCGUGCGGGAUGACGGCCUUCGGGUUGUAAACCUCUUUUAGCAGGGAAGAAGCGAAAGUGACGGUACCUGCAGAAAAAGCGCCGGCUAACUACGUG
rnacentral:rRNA from 1 species